rnacentral:rRNA from 1 species
CCUACGGGUGGCAGCAGUGAGGAAUAUUGGUCAAUGGUCGGGAGACUGAACCAGCCAAGCCGCGUGAGGGAUGAAGGUACAGAGUAUUGUAAACCUCUUUUGUCAGGGAACAAAGGCGGGGACGUGUCCCCGGAUGCGUGUACCUGAAGAAAAAGCAUCGGCUAACUCCGUGCCAGCAGCCGCGGUAAUACGGAGGAUGCGAGCGUUAUCCGGAUUUAUUGGGUUUAAAGGGUGCGUAGGUUGUUUUUUAAGUCAGCGGUGAAAGUUUGUGGCUCAACCAUAAAAUUGCCGUUGAAACUGGAAGACUUGAGUGUGUUUAAGGUAGGCGGAAUGCGUGGUGUAGCGGUGAAAUGCAUAGAUAUCAAGAAGAACUCCGAUUGCGAAGGCAGCUUACUAAGCCAUAACUGACACUGAAGCACGAAAGCGUGGGGAUCAAACAGGAUUAGAUACCCGAGUAGUC